GGUCCCAUAGCUCAGUUGGUUAGAGCGUCGUACUAAUAUUAUAGCAAUGUAACAUUGGUAAAUGCGAAGGCCGUGAGUUCAAGCCUCACUGGGACCA